rnacentral:rRNA from 1 species
AAUCCAUAGGUUAAUGAGGCGAACCGGGGGAACUGAAACAUCUAAGUACCCCGAGGAAAAGAAAUCAACCGAGAUUCCCCCAGUAGCGGCGAGCGAACGGGGAGGAGCCCAGAGCCUGAAUCAGCAUGUGUGUUAGUGGAAGCGUCUGGAAAGGCGCGCGAUACAGGGUGACAGCCCCGUACACAAAAGCGCAUGUGCUGUGAGCUC